CAGCCCUAGUUGGAGCCAGCAGCCCGGAGGACUUCGGGUAUCAGAACCAGGCUCAGGGGCUGACAGGGAGCAGUGUUCAUCAAGGUGUCCUGACGUCCCACCCUGAUUGCAACAAGGCUCUGGGGACAUCCACAUCUGGCCUUUCCUACAGCACAGAGCUCUGCCUCCUCCCCACCACACAUGCAGCCCUCUUCUGCCCCAGGGCCGGGGCAGCCUCAGUCCUGCUGCCAGAGAAGAGCUCCAUGGGAAGAACCUGCCGCCCUGUGUGGACCCUGCUUGCCCCAGGGCCUGGCAGUGAGAGGUGCUGGGGAGGGAGGGAGGAA
ensembl:lncRNA novel transcript, antisense to MYO18A